CGGGGCAGCGCUCGCCACGCAUGCUCUCCGUGUACACGUCGGAUUGCGCAGAGGAGCUGCGGGGGAGACGUGGCUGGAAGUCAGGCGUCCGAGUGGAGUGUAGAUUAAAAACCCCUCCGAGAGGAUGAUCACAGACGUGCAGCUGGCGAUCUUUGCCAACAUGCUAGGAGUAUCUCUAUUCCUCCUAGUUGUCCUGUACCACUAUGUUGCUGUUAACAAUCCCAAGAAGCUGGAGUGAUAUAAUAUCACAAGAGCAUAACAUUUAACAGUGUGAAGAUUAGGACCAAUAACAUAAUUACUUAAAAGAUGGAAGCUAGACUAGCAGAUGAAACAAGAUCAACAUCGGAUUUCACCAAUACUGCUUUCAAAAAAAAAAUGGCAUUACAUGUGCUUUGUACAGGGGGAGAAAAUGUGCCUUGUUAAUAAAUAUUUAACUUGCUGAAAUUGUGAAUCAUGUAUCUUUGUGAUUCCUUUAAAAUGAUGUGCAACUUAAAAUUGCAGUGAAAAUUGAUAAUUGGGGAAAAAUGGAUAGUUACCAUCUCACCUUUGGUCAAAUGUUAAUAAAUUAACAUGUAUUUCAUUUGCUGUUCUGACUAGAAGUCUGAUACAUUAAAGGCUAAAGGAUUUUUUUUCUCCUACGUAUAAUAUCGAAGCUUCAGAAGUACCAGUUAAAGAAUUACUUGGUGGUGUAACCUGUUGCUGCAGCAAUCAUACACCAAUAAAUGUGACAUUAAAAUGAGUAAUGCAUUCCUGUAAUUGUGCAAAUUGUUAACUUGUUCAUAAAUCUUGCUGCUUAUGGACUGCAUGAGAAACUAAUCUUUGACAUCUGAAAUUUUAAAUAUUUUUCCCUCCCAAGGAUGUUAAAUUCCUUUUUUUUUGUCCUGCAUCCCCCAUGCUUUAGGCAUUCAUUAUUUCAGUGCUAGUCUUGAAAUCAAAAGAUUGUGUGUUUAGCCUAUUCUACUUAAGAAAAAUAUCACUGAUGUAUUUGUGUGUGCAAGAUUUAAAAAAAAGCUUGCUAGUUA